rnacentral:rRNA from 1 species
UGGGGAAUAUUGCGCAAUGGGCGAAAGCCUGACGCAGCGACGCCGCGUGAGGGAUGAAGGUCCUCGGAUCGUAAACCUCUGUCAGAAGGGAAGAAUGUAGCGCGUGCCAAUCAGCGCGUUAUUGACGGUACCUUCAAAGGAAGCACCGGCUAACUCCGUGCCAGCAGCCGCGGUAAUACGGAGGGUGCAAGCGUUAAUCGGAAUAACUGGGCGUAAAGGGCAUGCAGGCGGUUCAUCAAGUAGGAUGUGAAAUCCCCGGGCUCAACCUGGGAACAGCAUACUAAACUGGUGGACUAGAGUAUUGCAGGGGGAGACGGAAUUCCAGGUGUAGCGGUGGAAUGCGUAGAUAUCUGGAAGAACACCAAAGGCGAAGGCAGUCUCCUGGGCAAAUACUGA